AUUGAACGCUGGCGGCAUGCCUUACACAUGCAAGUCGAACGGUGACGCGGGGCAACCUGGCGACGAGUGGCGAACGGGUGAGUAAUGUAUCGGAACGUGCCCAGUUGUGGAGGAUAACUGCUCGAAAGAGCAGUUAAUACCGCAUACGACCUGAGGGUGAAAGCGGGGGAUCGCAAGACCUCGCGCAAUUGGAGCGGCCGAUAUCAGAUUAGGUAGUUGGUGGGGUAAAGGCUCACCAAGCCAACGAUCUGUAGCUGGUCUGAGAGGACGACCAGCCACACUGGGACUGAGACACGGCCCAGACUCCUACGGGAGGCAGCAGUGGGGAAUUUUGGACAAUGGACGCAAGUCUGAUCCAGCCAUGCCGCGUGCGGGAAGAAGGCCUUCGGGUUGUAAACCGCUUUUGUCAGGGAAGAAACGCUCUGGGUUAAUACCUCGGGGUAAUGACGGUACCUGAAGAAUAAGCACCGGCUAACUACGUGCCAGCAGCCGCGGUAAUAC
rnacentral:rRNA from 1 species